AUCGUGCAUAUCGAUUGGGGUCUUUCCCCGAAUCUUUAUAUCCUUAGUAUGACCCAUUACCGCGUGCGACUGACAAGAAUCAUACGACACUUUAACCGGCCAAUCAUGUACAUCUUUGCAUAGACAUAAUGUGUUUACAGACUAGGGGAUUUUUUUCACGAAGGUUGUCACUAUUGGUCGACUGCUAAACCUGUUUUACCUGUUUUCCCUAUGAGAUAAACAAGGUGAUUUCCCUUGAAGAUUGAUCCUUAUAUAUUUAGGACUUUUGUCCAUCGAUUCAGUCACCAGUUCUGCACUAGCCGAAUCUGUCGACAAUCACCAAGAGAACUAGCUACAAACUCAGUUUUUCUAUCAAAAUGGGUGACAGCGAAAAGCAAGGAAAAAAGAAUCUUACGACAAAAGAAGAUGUUGCAAGGGUUGAAAAGGCUCACAAAGAGAAUGACGGUCAAGUGGAGAGAAUGAAAGCUGCAGCUGAAAGGAAUGAAAAGGCAGCAAAGGAGGAGAGCAAUAAAUGAUCUUUGCAACCAAGAAAGACUAAAAUACUAUAGAUUUUAGCUGAUUAAACACUUAGUCUGAAGUCUAAACCUGUUUCAUAGCUUAGUCAAGUAAUGACAAUCCCUUCGUAAUGUUUUUGUAAACUAAAAAUUCCGUAACUUACUCAACUACUUCUUUUGCCACAAUGAAGGAGAGAAUAAAUGAAUAAACUGAGUUUCCCAUAUAAA